UCGGUCUCACUCUCUCUCUCUAACCAUUCAGCUCCACCUUCUCUCUAGAACCUUCAGGUUCACCUUCUUCAACGCUCUCAUCGCCUCUCCUACCAACUUCAGCCUCGCCUCUUUCCAUCGUCAGCUGCUGUGAAACCUUAUCUCACCGUCUCCCUCCAUACUUGAAACUCCAAAAGUUUCCACCAUUCAAGACGGUACCUGGAAGCCUUGCUUAGCUUAUCUCUGGCCUACUCUCCCGUGGUUUUUCAGUCCGAUGGUGCUAUAUACACCAUUAUUAAAGAGUUUCAUGGCCAGGUUCCUUACCUUACAGAUUUUAUUUGCAAAAACCCUAAUUUUUGCCUAAAUCUCUUAAAUCCAUGUCUUUUAAGAUGAUUUCCAGUUUAUUCUUUCUAUUUUACACUACAACUCGAGAUCUUCAAUUAAUUCAAGUUUUUCAACGUUUGUUAUUUCUCUCAAAAAGCUAGGGUUUCCGAACCCCUUUUUCAAAAUUGCUACAUCUUCUGUUUCUUUAGAUAUUAUGUACGACUGUAUUAUGUGAUAUUUAUGUUGCAAGCUUGUUUGUUUCUGAGUUCCAUGCUUUAAACCUUUACUACGGUUCCGACUCGCUGGUGUUUUUGUGAUUCCUUACUUAGGGUUCUUGGUUUUGUGCCUAUUGUAUUUAAAUAGGUUUAAAUGCUUCUAUUUACUAAUUAUUUGUGUAUCUCUUUGAAUCCCUAAUUUGUAUGUUUUUUCUUUAAAUAUUCUUACACUGAUUUUUCGAAUUGCUGCCUUAAUUGUGAGAUGCUUUCUAUACUUGGUGUUGAUUCCCUCUGUUUUUGGUCUUGUCCGUGAUUCUUUGACUAAUUUCAGAGUUGAUUUACAUGCUUACCAUAUUUGUGUACUUAAACAUGUUAUUCGAAUG
rnacentral:lncRNA from 1 species